GGAGGGAACCGAGCUGGUGCUCCCCGCGGGCUGCAAACCCGCCGGCCGGGUGGUGAGGUCCGGGGUCGGGUUCGAUUCCCACUUCCCUCCUCCA
rnacentral:tRNA from 1 species